rnacentral:lncRNA from 1 species
AAGGUGAACUCGUCAAACCCAACAUCAGUCAUAUGAAUCAAUCGAUCGAUUCGAGUCUGAUGUGAAACUCCAAUGGAAAACUCUUUUCCAUUAUUUCACUCUGCCAUGGCCAUGAGCUUAAGGACUCGAUCUUUCGAUCAUCAUAGGACUACUCCUCACAUCUAUCGAGGUUGAUAGAUCCCAUCUUGGUGCGAUCUGGUUCCUACAAUGGAUAUGCUACAGCCAAU